rnacentral:rRNA from 1 species
GACAGAGGGUGCAAACGUUGUUCGGAAUUACUGGGCGUAAAGCGAGUGUAGGCGGUCUUGAAAGUCGGGUGUGAAAGCCCCGGGCUCAACCUGGGAAUUGCAUUCGAGACUGUGUAGCUAGGGUACGGAAGAGGGAAGCGGAAUUUCGAGGUGUAGCGGUGAAAUGCGUAGAUAUCUGAAGGAACACCAGUGGCGAAAGCGGCUUCCUGGUCCAGUACCGACGUUCAGGCACGAAAGCGUGGGGAGCAAACAGG